GUUCCCUGGCCAGGCGUAUUACCAUGAGCAAAUCAGAAUGCUCAAAGUAGGCCUACGCGCCUGAAUGUGUUAGCAUGGAAUAAUAAAAUAGGACUCGAGUCUUGUUUUGUUGGUUUACUUGACAUUGAGAAAUGAUGAAUAGGAACGGUUGGGGGCAUUUGUAUUUGGCCGCUAGAGGUGAAAUUCUUGGAUUGGCCGAAGACAAACUACUGCGAAAGCAUUUGACCCAGGACGUUUUCAUUGAUCAGGGACUAAAGUUGAGGGAUCGAAGACGAUUAGAUACCGUCGUAGUCUUAACCACAAACUAUGCCGACUAGCGAUUGGGCCUUGACCUUUGGUCAGGUUCAGCAGCUUAGCGAAAGUAAAGUCUUUGGGUUCUGGGGGGAGUAUGGGACGCAAGGCUGAAACUUAAAGGAAUUGACGGAAGGGCACCACCAGGAGUGGAGCCUGCGGCUUAAUUUGACUCAACACGGGGAAACUCACCAGGUCCAGACAUAAGAAGGAUUGACAGAUUGAAAGCUCUUUCUAGAUUUUAUGGGUGGUGGUGCAUGGCCGUUCUUAGUUCGUGGAGUGAUUUGUCUGGUUAAUUCCGAUAACGAACGAGACCUUAUUCUGCUAAAUAGCUGGGUCAACUUUUUAGUUGGCGCUAUGGUUUCUUCGGAGACCCCAGCUUCUUAGAGAGACUACUGAAUUCAAUUCAGUGGAAGUUUUAGGCAAUAACAGGUCUGUGAUGCCCUUAGAUGUUCUGGGCCGCACGCGCGCUACACUGACAAAAUCAGCGAGUUUUAUUCCUUGGCCGGAAGGUCUGGGUAAACUUUUGAAAUUUUGUCGUGCUGGGGAUAGAACAUUGCAAUUAUUGUUCUUCAACGAGGAAUUCCUAGUAAGCGCAAGUCAUCAGCUUGCGUUGAUUACGUCCCUGCCCUUUGUACACACCGCCCGUCGCUACUACCGAUUGAAUGGUCAUAGUGAGCAUGUGGGAUCACCCGCACCAGGAUGGCAACAUCUCGGUAUGGGAGAGAACUAUGGCAAACUAGAUUAUUUAGAGGAAGUAAAAGUCGUAACAAGGUUUCCGUAGGUGAACCUGCGGAAG
rnacentral:rRNA from 1 species